AAUUUGGUUUAAGGAUGUGGCGUUGGGAGGGUAGAAUAAGAAAGAUAGAAAAUUUCUUGUGAUCGGUACUUACAAGAAUGAUAAAUAACUUUUCAACGCUUUUCUCUUUUUUUUUAAUACUCAAAUUUUUUUCACUUACAAUAGAAGAAUAAAUACAAUUGAGUGCCUUUUUUUUUAAAUGCACGAAAUUUUUUUUGAAACCUUUUCUUUUACAAACCUAUCUUCCGG
rnacentral:lncRNA from 1 species